UGGGGAAUAUUGCACAAUGGGCGAAAGCCUGAUGCAGCGACGCCGCGUGAGGGAAGAAGGCCUUCGGGUCGUAAACCUCUGUCCAAGGGGAAGAAAAAAAUGACGGUACCCUUGGAGGAAGCCCCGGCUAACUACGUGCCAGCAGCCGCGGUAAUACGUAGGGGGCAAGCGUUAUCCGGAAUUACUGGGCGUAAAGAGUGCGUAGGUGGCCACUCAAGCGCAGGGUUUAAGGCAACGGCCUAACCGUUGUCAGCCUUGCGAACUGGGUGGCUUGAGUACAGGAGAGGAAGGCGGAAUUCCUAGUGUAGCGGUGAAAUGCGUAGAUAUUAGGAGGAACACCAGUGGCGAAAGCGGCUUUCUGGACGACAACUGACGCUGAGGCGCGAAAGCCAGGGGAGCAAACGGGAUUAGAUACCCCGGUAGUCCUGGCCGUAAACGAUGGGUACUAAGUGUAGGAGGUAUCGACCCCUUCUGUGCCGGAGUUAACGCAAUAAGUAUCCCGCCUGGGGAGUACGGCCGCAAGGCUG
rnacentral:rRNA from 1 species